UACGUAGGGUGCAAGCGUUGUCCGGAAUUAUUGGGCGUAAAGAGCUCGUAGGCGGCUCAUUGCGUCAACCGUGAAAACCAGCAGCUCAACUGUUGGCUUGCGGUUGAUACGGGUGGGCUGGAGUUCGGUAGGGGAGACUGGAAUUCCUGGUGUAGCGGUGAAAUGCGUAGAUAUCUGGAGGAACACCGGUGGCGAAGGCGGCAUCCUGGACCGGCAUUGACGCUGAGGCGCGAAAGCCAGGGGAGCAAACGGG
rnacentral:rRNA from 1 species